rnacentral:rRNA from 1 species
AUGGCCAUGGCGAUGGCGAAUCCUGCACCUCUUCCAACCUUCUCCUCGCAAUCCCGAGCAUUCACCCCAAACAUCUCACUGCGAAGCGGCAGAGCUAUAUCGCGCUCCCGAGCCCUAGCUCUAACCGCAACGACCGCGUGCUCCAUCCGCCUCCGCGUGCGGGCCGCCAAAGACUGCUCGCCCCCGCCGUCGUAUCCGCUCUCUGAGGUUUUCCCCUACGUCGCCGCAGAGUGGCGGACCAUCGCGAAGGGGUGGGCGUGCGCCGCCGCCGCCGUGUACUGCCUCUCGCGCACGGUGCCCGCCGCGGGGCGCCUUCCGCGCGCUCUGGCCGCCGGCGUAGGCGGGGGCGUAUCGGCCGAGGUUUCCAGGGGCGUGGUCGCGCUCGCGGCUUUCGCCUCUGCGCGCGCGGCCGCGGCGUACGUGCAGCAGGCGUUGCUCUGGGAGGCGGCGCUGCGGGCGGUAUGGCGCCUCCGGGAGCGCGCCUUCGAGCGUUUGCUUGCGCGUGACCUCGCGUUUUUCGAUGGCAGAGAAGGGAUGGCCGCAGGAGACAUCGCGCACCGGAUCACGGAUGAGGCGGACGACGUUGCGGACGCUGUGUACUCUGUUCUCAAUACAAUUGUGCCGACAAGCUUGCAAUUGAUAGCAAUGGGUACUCAAAUGGUGGCGAUAGAUCCCCAGCUCUCAUUAGUUGCAGCAAUGGUAAUUCCAUGCAUGUCCAUAGUCAUUGCAAAGCUUGGUGAAAGACUCCGUCAAAUAUCCAAGGAGGCGCAUCUUAGCCUCGCCAUGCUCGCAGCCUAUCUCAACGAUGUACUUCCAUCGAUGCUCACUGUGAAGGUAAACAAUGGGGAGCACAAAGAGAUGUUAAGAUUCCAUGAGUUGGCUUUUGUUGAUCUGAAGAAUAAUUUGGGUAAGAAGAAGAUGAAAGCUCUCAUACCUCAAGCUGUUCGUACUACAUACAUUGCAGGCCUGGUAGUGCUUUGUGCUGGUUCAGUAGCAGUUUCUGGAACCACAUUUGAUCCCGAGGGGUUUCUUUCUUUCCUAACAGCACUUGCUCUUUUUGUUGAGCCUAUUCAGGAUUUUGGCAAGGCAUACAAUGAAUAUAAGCAAGGAGAACCAGCAUUAGAACGCAUAUUUGAUUUAACAAGGUUCAUCCCUGAGGUGAGGGAUAAACCAAGUGCAGUUCACUUAAAUUCUGUUAAGGGAGAUAUUAAGUUCCAUGAUGUUACAUUUAGAUAUGUUGCUGGUAUGCCACCAACAGUAGAUGGUGUGAAUCUUCAUAUCAGAGCAGGAGAAACUAUUGCUAUUGUUGGACCAUCUGGUGGAGGGAAAACCACUCUUGCCAAAUUACUCCUCCGUCUUUAUCAUCCACAAAGUGGAUAUAUAGCUCUGGACAACCAUGAUAUUCAAGACAUUCAGUUGCAGUGCUUGAGAACACAUAUUGCGUUUGUUUCACAGGACCCGAUGUUAUUUUCCGGUACAAUUGCUAAAAAUAUUGCGUAUGGCAACCCUGUGGGAGAUAUUAAUAUGAGAAAAGUUGAGAAUGCUGCUAAGAUUGCCAAUGCCGAUGAGUUCAUUAAGAUAUUGCCAGAGGGAUAUGACUCGUAUGUAGGACAGAGAGGUUCUAGUUUAAGUGGCGGGCAAAAACAAAGGUUAUCUAUCGCAAGGGCGAUCUACCAGAACUCUUCCAUACUGGUACUGGAUGAAGCAACGUCUGCUCUGGAUAGCAGGUCUGAGCUGCUACUGAAAGAAGCACUGAUGAAUUUGAUGGCAAGCCACACUGUUGUCAUCAUUGCUCAUCGGCUGGAGAUGAUCCUGAUGGCUGAUAGAAUUGUUUUACUAGAGGGCGGUAAAUUGCGAGAGGUCACGAGGUCGGCUUUCUUGUCCCUAGAUGGCCGCUUCGGUUCACCACCAGAUGUCCUCAGUCGAGAAUUAGGAGAGGCUUGA